UGAAGUGCAAAAGUUUGAUUACCAAUCUUGUUAGCUGUAACUCUCUUGUUGACAGUUUGUGCAAGGCAGGUAAAAUAUCAUAUGUGCAAGAUAUUGUUUAUGAGAUGCAUCAUGCUCCAGAUAUAAUAUUUUACAAUAUCUCGUUGGGUGAAUUGUGCAAAAGUCAUCAUCCUGAUGAGGCAAUUGCUUUAUUUAAGCGAAUGUUUGACCAAAGGAUUCAUCCUAAUACAUGCACAUAUACCAUAAUUUUGUAUGGUUUAUGCAAGGGUAAUAGAUUAAAUACCAUGUGGCAGAUUUUUCAGUAUCUUUUGGUUAAUGGCCAUCCUUUGAGUGUCCAUGCAUAUAAUGUAAUGAUUAAAGGACUUUGUAAAGAGGGUUUGUUUGAUGAAGUGAAGGAUUGCAUUAUAAAAUGAAAGAGAGUAGAUGCGCACCUACUUUUGUAACUUUUGAAACAAUCACUAGACCUCUUUUGGAAGAAGGUGAGAAUGACAAGGCAAAGAAUCUUUUGGAUGAAAUGCUUCACUAGAGGUCUCCUAAAGCGACAGAAGAAGAUUGUUCAUGGCCAUUCUUGAAUGGAAAUGUUGUGAAGGUGACCUGAAAGGGGAUGUUGUGAAUGCAUUUACUCUAGUGUUGUGACUUGAAACACACAUCAGACCUCUUUGUGAAAAAGGAGAGAAUGAUGGGGCAAAUAAUGUUGUUGACGAGAUAUUCACCGGAGGUCUCUUGAAAAGAUAAAAACAUCGGCCAUGAUUGCUGCCAACAUUACUGGGUUUAUAAAAGCAGUGGGAAUUAUAGCAUUGUGUGCCAGAGAUGAAGGAAAUGGUAAAAUGACUCUUGCAAGGCAUGUUUGUGUUGGGAGGAGGCAUGGCCAUUUCGGUUCGGUUAAUUCCCUCGAGCGGUUUGAAAAACAGACACAUCAGUUGAAAGCGAAGUAGGAUUUGGGAGAAUAAUUGAUGCUCCGCUGGAUUCUUUUCUAUUAAGCUUGCUUUUGGUGACUAUGCUUGUUAUGGUGAAGAAGAGAUUGAAAAUGGAAAUGUUGGAGAGGAGAGCAUACGAAGGGUAAACCCUUUGGCCUUGUUAGACGUGUUUGGAAUGAGGGACUGGGUUGACUUAGGACUGCUUAAUCCACGUACAUGGGAUUUGCUUAAACUCAAUCCAUCAAAAUGAAGUUAUCUGUACCCCGCAUGGCAUUCGAGUUUGAUUAGAUGGGCAAAGUAGGGCUCCUACGGCAUCUAUGACUAAAAUGAUGCCUAUUUAUUGUUGAGUAUGAGUAUAUUCAAUCACAUUGU